rnacentral:tRNA from 1 species
GCUGCGGUAGGAUCAAGGGUAAUUCACUCCUCUCAUAAAGGAGAUCUUCUGUCAAGAAGAGUUCCGGGUUCGAUUCCCGGCCGCAGCG